CCUGACUUCGGGUUAGUCUGGAUUUGGCCCCUGAUGGUGCUAGCCACUACUCUCGUCACAUAUGAGAGACAACAGCGCCCUCUGGUGUUUAAAGCCCAGAUCCACAAAAGGAGGGACAAGAGAAAAGGCUCUCAAGGCAGGACAAAGUCACUCCUCUACCCCAGGGUGCCAGACCAAGUGAAAGGGCUAGUCUGACAACGCACCCCUGUUCUGGAAAGCCAGGCUUUUCGGAGCCUGGAGAGACAGUGUCUCAGAUUUGACCAGCAUCAGGGCCUGUACUGGCCGGAGCCAGCCUAGAUGAAUGAGAGCAUAGUGCAUCUGGAGCAGGAAGGAGAUAGUCUUUUCCAGAAAGUUCGGCUACACUAAUCAUCCUUUCACGGAAAGGAGGGAACAGCAUCUCCAUAAACCACGCCCAAGGACUCUGGCCCUAGGAGAGCGUUUUUAGCGGGGCGUUUUCAAGGGGACAGCCAGGUGAGCACACGGAUAGCUGGAGACCCUGAAUUUCCUUCCUUGGACUGCUUCCUGGUCCUAAGGCAACCGCCAUACUGGCCCCUGUCACCGGCGAUGCUGAUAAUCCCAGAUUUUUCUGAAUAAGGACAGGUGAGGAGGGCACUUUGCAUGUAAUACUUAUCAUUUGAUUAGUGUUCUUCAAGUAAGAUGGUAGCAUCUAGAUUAUUUUCGUAUGGUGAGAUUGAUGUACAGAAUCGCUCAAACUCCUACCUCUUUUCUCCUGCCCCAGGACAGGCCUGCUGGAAAUUGAGCAGGAGACUGUGACUCCCUGGCUCGGUCAACAGCUUUUGUAGGUACAGCCUCUUUCUGAGGGCUUGUUCGGUGCCAGCUCCGAAAGUGACCAGAAGUAUCACUGUAGGACGAGACCAACCACUCUGCACCUCCGUAUCCACCUGCUCAGUGAGCAAAAGCAAUUCAUGGAAUGGUUCGGGGGAGAGAAUACACCAGGAGGGCCAGCACAGGGCAGCACCUGCACAAAGAAUUUGGCUGACAUCUAAGUGGAAUCAAGAGGCAGCUGGACUACAGACAGUCUCUCCCUGGCAAGUCUUAGACUUUCAUUCCUCCCGCCUCCAUCUCUCAAGUCCCAGGACAGAAGAUUUGCACAAGUCAACCUUUCAAUACUGAAGUAGCAUUGGCACAGCAAUACCUGUGUCACAGUCAAUUGCGUGUCUUCAAAGAAUCUGGGGGCAAGGAGCAGGUGUAAAAGGUAAAAAGAGACUUUCGUAAGUUACGUUGAUGCAAUGAUCCUUGGCCACAGAAUCAGUAGCAACGGUGGCUACUGUCCAAGGUUAAACACAACGCUGGGCAGAUGUUUUCUGUGUGAGGCUGCUGUAGUCUGAGUGGGACGGUGGCUGUGACAGCCUUUUGUCAAUAGUUUUUCUAAUUAAUCAUUUGUGAAAUGUUUCUUUCUUGAUUUCACUUUAGUAUCUUGUAAUACUUGACAAAAGCAAUUACACUUUCAUUCAUUCUUCUUUUUUUUUCUUUCAGAACCAGAGUCUCACAUAACCUAAGCUGGACUUGAACUUCUGAUCCUUCUGCCUCCACCUCCUAGCUGCUGAGAUUAUAGGUGUGUACU
rnacentral:lncRNA from 1 species